rnacentral:misc_RNA from 1 species
UUUCAGGAAAUAAAGUACACCUAAUAAUUUAUGUUGCCAAGGUCAUAGUUAUGGAAAAUCAGUUCUGAAAUUAAAAACAGUAGGAACCCAAACAAGCACAAGUUACUUCAACUUGGAUUUCAUCAUAAAUUUAGCUGUCAUGUAUUGGCACAACUCGAGUGCUUAAACCUCAAGCACUAGAGCAACUAAACCAGACUAACUGAUUAAAUCAUCACGCAUUGCAUACAAGCUAUAAGAUUAAAAAUAAAUAUGCAAACACAUUAACACACCAUCAGUCACUCUGUAAUAACCAUGAUUAAUUUUCACCGGCACAUCAUCUCACAUCUAAACAUCUUUUAUUUAACAGCAGCAACAAAAGUAGAGCAGUGGAGCCUAUCUUUCAACAAUAAGGGAAAUCACAAACAGCAAACUAGAAAUAGAGA